rnacentral:misc_RNA from 1 species
UCCGUACGUCCAGGAGUGACGCGGGACGCAAAACAUUCCCCUAUCCCCCCUCCUCCCCCCAUAGUGUGCGUGAACGUCUGAUGCCACCAAUCAUCUCAGCUCCUCGACGGCACUAUGUCCAAGGCCAUUAACGCCUAUCGCAUCAAGAAGAUCGAGAGCAUCGGGAGGAUGACGGCCCUGACGCAGGAGGAGGUGGUGUCCCACACGCGGACGGUGGUGCAGGGGUUGGAGGCCCUGCGGAACGAGCACAACUCCAUCCUGACGGGCAUCAACAACUCCAUCACCUCCGCCCAGCACCACCCGCCGGACUCCAAUGUCUUUUCGGAGAAGGCCGGCAUCAUACAGAAGUCCCUCGACCAGAUCGAGCUCGGGCUCUCCGAAGCUCAGAUUAUGCUGGCACUGGCCUCCCACCUGCAGACGGUUGAGGCUGAGAAACAGAAGCUGCGUGCACAGGUUCGGCGACUUUGCCAGGAGAACGCGUGGUUGAGGGACGAGCUGGCCUCCACCCAGCAGAAGCUGCAGGCCUCUGAGCAGCAUGUAGCACAGCUGGAAGAAGACAAAAAGCACCUCGAGUUUAUGUCCACCAUCAAGAAGUACGAUGCAGACGUACAGGACUCAGAAUCAUCAAUGGAAGAAAAGAAAGACAAAAGUGAUGAUCCCGUUGUAGACCUAUUUCCAGACGACGAUGCCGAUGACAGGGCUGGUUUAAAGAGAAGCGGGGAUUUUGGUUCUCAGGCGUCUUUAGCUGCCAUGUCCCCAACUCCACCGUCCCAGUUCGCACAGCAGGUGAAUGCUGGUUAUGAAAUACCAGCUCGUCUUCGUACUUUGCACAAUCUAGUAAUCCAAUAUGCCUCACAGGGACGCUACGAGGUGGCAGUUCCUCUGUGCAAACAAGCACUGGAGGACCUUGAGAAGACCUCUGGACAUGACCAUCCUGAUGUGGCAACUAUGCUCAAUAUCCUGGCUCUUGUCUACAGGGACCAGAAUAAAUACAAAGAGGCAGCGAACCUCCUAAAUGAUGCGCUCGCCAUCCGAGAGAAGACCUUGGGAGAGAACCACCCUGCAGUCGCAGCCACCCUAAAUAACCUAGCUGUGUUAUAUGGGAAGCGAGGCAAAUACAAGGAGGCCGAGCCUCUGUGCAAGAGAGCCCUGGAAAUCCGCGAAAAGGUGUUAGGCCGCGACCACCCUGAUGUGGCCAAGCAACUCAACAACUUAGCCUUACUUUGUCAGAACCAGAUCUCUCAGGAGGAGCGUAGAGGGGUGCCUAAGGAGGAGCUUCUCGGCAAGUACGAAGAAGUAGAGCGGUAUUACCAGCGAGCAUUAGAAAUUUACGAAUCGAAGUUAGGUCCUGACGACCCCAAUGUAGCCAAGACGAAGAACAACCUGGCCUCAGCAUACCUCAAACAAGGGAAGUACAAGGAGGCUGAGAUCUUGUACAAGCAGGUUCUCACGAGGGCUCAUGAGAGGGAGUUUGGUGCCAUUGACGGCGACAACAAACCCAUCUGGCAGGUGGCUGAGGAGCGUGAGGAGAACAAGAACAAGGUGAAGGACUCUGCUCCCUAUGGCGAGUAUGGCGGCUGGCACAAGGCGGCCAAGGUUGACUCGCCAACUGUGACCACGACCCUGAAGAACCUGGGUGCCCUUUACCGGCGCCAGGGCAAGUACGAGGCGGCUGAGACCCUGGAGGAUUGCGCCAUCCGGUCACGUAAGGAGCCCCCAAACUUCCCUUCCCCCAUGGGGUCUACCACUUCACAAAGAUCGCAAGAAGACGCACGCCACACCGACUGAAACGGGCAAGUUCACUGUCCGUUCUUAGUGGAGAGGAGCCCCAGAAACAGUCCUUACAGGUUCCCCUAGCUGUGCGUGGUCGAGCAGUGAGCUCAGAACACCUUUCCCGACCAGCUGCUUCUGCCUCGCCUGGCCUGCGCUAGAGACUACUUUCAUGCUCGCUGUUCCUUCUGCGUUAAUGUUACCUAUCAUAAGCAAUGGGGAAGAUCUAAUCAUGGUAGAUUACAAGAGCCUCCUGUCCUUGCUUUUCCACAUAAGGACAGAGAAUUGUUCUUUAUGUUCUGUACGUAAGCAACCUAACAGAGCAGUCUUUAGAUAUGUGUUUUUAUAGAUUGUUCCUAUGAAAAUUCUAUCUAUGUCUGUUGUGUGUGUGCAGGACUUUAGUAACCAUAACCCAUUGUUAGUGACAGUUAACGGUGGGGCAUUUAAAACUUUGAGAAAGUUACUUUGCAUGACAUAGUACAUCAAGAGCAGUUGUGUAUAAAAUAAGGACAGGUAUUAAAACAUCUAUCACAUUGCAUCAUUGAUUUUAUGCAAUUGAAAUUGGAAAUUGGAGAGGCAGAAUAAUAGAAUAAAAAAUGAAAUAAUAAAGCCCAAAUUAGCAGAUGGCAGCCUGGUCUUCCAGUUUGAAAAAUGGGUAGGAAACCAAGGACAGAAAACCAAGGGGUACUGAUAUGCAUUGGGACAGGUAACGGAAUUUUAGAUUUUUACAGGAUGAAAAUGUAUAAAAUAAAGAGGAGAAAUUUAUGGAUUUCAACACUGGAAAGUCAAAAAAGAAAAAAAAAAUACGUAGAUUAGAAAUGGGUGUCUUGUUUUGUAGUACCAUCACUGACACAUUCAUUGCAUUGUGUUUGGAUGCCUAAGCUGCAUUUGAAUCCCUGAAACUGGUAGAGUGUAGUUACCAGAGAAUAACAAUUACAUAAUGUGCUAUAGUCUGCAUAUAGUUUCCAAAGCCUCAUAAUAGCAUGUUCCAAAGUACUCAUCUCUUAGCCUGGACAGAACUUUUGUCCAUGCAGCUCUUCUGAUUUUCUGCACAUGUAUAGUCACAAAAUGGCCAAGAAUUUCCUUUUUGUAAUUUAAAUGAAUCCAUUAUUGCAAUCUUGAGUGAGAGGUGUGCAUGUGAAAAAAGAAAAUAAAAAAAAGUUUAUAUUUAAUAAAUAUUUAAUAAUUCAGUGUCUCUGUACUGGCAGAACAUAAAAUUUACAUUUGAUGUCAUGAUAGAGUGCUUUAUUGAACAAGGCAUUGACAUACCAUUCCAGGAGGAUCUUGAUAGCUAUCUAGUCUUUUAUUUAUGAGAUUUGUGUCAUUUCACUUUUUAGUUUCUUACAUUGUGGAUUUUGGUAUGUUGUUGUAAAUGGCUAUAUUGUACAUUUCCAGUUUUGUAUUACUUAAUUUGGUUAAGAUGAUUUUGUGUUAUAUUUAUUUCUGUAAUAGUUUUGUGUCUAGGUCAAAAUUAUACAAAGAAUAUAUUGUUUUAAAUUCAUUCAUGAUUCUCAUGAGCAAAACUAUUUUUCAGUGUAGUUUUAAGGACCAUAUGCAUUAUAUCCACCAAGAAGAAAAUGAUGCACAUCCUGUUGUGGAUGAAGCUAUAGUUACCCUUGAACCAGUGUCCCAUACAGGGUUAAAUAUAUACACAAUAUGAGGAAAAUAUCCCUGAAAACAGUUAUUAUCCCACUAGUGACUAAAAAGAAUUACGAGAUUUGGGCCACAAGUUCCCGUCUCUUAGUUCAGAAGGAAGAUAGUUGUACUGUGAUUCUUGCACUUCCAGUACUAUAUAAAUACAGUUGCUGGCAGUAUAGGAAUGUUAGUCAACUGGUAUAUCUUGCACAGGGGUUGUAAAGAUUUCAUCAUUUCAGCUGUCUGAACGUUCACAACCUAACUUUUUUGUUAGCUUCAUGUCUGCUUUUGUCUGUGCAUUCCCACGGUGACACAGCAACCGAUGUAGGAAAAGUUAUCAAUAAACAACUUGAUGGCUUAUG